rnacentral:lncRNA from 1 species
UCCAAGAUUCUCUAAUCCAAUGGUGUUUAGGGAUGGUCCACCGGUGGACCAGUUUAUAACUUGCUCACCCUAGUGGGCACCUCUAAUAAAUAAUAAAUAAGUUCAAUUACAUUUUGGUCCCUAUAAUUUAAGAAUAUGUAAUUUUAUUUUCUAUUGUUUUAAUUGCUCGCAACAAAGUCUCAAUACUUUCAAAAUUGAACAAUUUGAUUAAAAUGUUAAUUUGUCAUCUCACAACUACCAAAAGAAUUGGCAUAUAUCAUAAUUUUUUGUGUAAACUGAAAUCGUUUUAACAAUGCCAUUAUGUAAAAGAAUAUGACCUACGUCGACUUUUCUUAUUAAUUAUUAGAUGACAAGUUAAGAUCAAGACCAAAUUCGUUCAAUUUUAAAAGUAGAAGAACUUAAUUGAAGUUAUUAAAAAUACAGAGACCCAAAGUGUGAUUAUUAGCUGAUAAGUUAAGGUCAUGACUAAAUUCAUACAGGUUUGUAUAAAAUUUAAUAUUGAGAUUGAUUCACAUUGUUUUAUCCUGCAUCAUGAACUUAAAACCAUAAAUGAAAAUAAAAAAAUUGUCUCAUGCAAAUUAUAGGUUAAUAAGUCUCGUUAUUACAUCUUAAUAUGGGUAUUUACUUGUAUCAACAUUUCGAAAGUCGGCACUUCAUCUAAUCAAUCACAUUCCCGCAGUGAAAAACAUGCUAUAAAUAUCAAUUAAACGAACAUCAAAUCAUGCUACAAGUAGGACUUGUAAUAAUAUCUCAACUUUUAUUUUUAGUUGUAUGAGCUUUACUUUUCUUUACGGCAGUAUACGCAUUAUUAAAUUCAUACAUGACCCAAAAUUAGAGGAGUUCCUCUACAUUUAACCCUAACAAUAUAUAACUACUUCACCUGCUGGGUGGAUACAAUUUACAGGUAAGUGAUCACACAACGAAACAAACUUGAGGGCACAUUCCUACGAAACCUUCCAAUUUUCAUUAGAUUAUAUUUUUUCAGAGCAUCACACGGAACCAUGUCAAAAUAACUGCACACUUGAAUUUCAGGGAGGAGAGUCAACAAAAAUCCCUUUUGUUUCAUGAAAUGACAGCACCUGGCAAAAGAUAAUGUUAUAGCCUCACAAAAUCCUUCCUACUCGUCAUCGUCGUCUUCUUCAGGCGCCUCUUUUAGCCACUACAAACAAGAAUCAAUAAAUGGCUUAUAUAAGAAAGUAAUACAUCUCAUAGGAUAGUUGGAAAAAAAUGCAAGUAUAACCUAAUUUUACAAGUGUGUAAAAAUAGAUAAGAAUACUCACUUGAAUUAAUUUUUGGGCCUGCUUAACAAAAACUUUAUCAUAUUCAUCUGCGUCUUUCUUCUCAUCUUCCCAACUCAAAAUAGCAUCUUCGUCUACAAUAUCUUCUUCAUACAUGAAGUGCAAUAUCUGAAAGCAAUUAAGAAGUUAGGAGGGGGAAAAGAAAAUCAAAUUUAGUGUUAGAAUGUGAAACUAUUCACUCCAAUUAUGUUACAAGGAAUGAAGUAGUAUAGGUAGGUAUAGCAGCAGGAAAAGGUGACGGUUAAAAAUUGUCCAAUCUCAAUAUCACUAAAGAAGUGGUCGCUGCCGACAAAGUUAGAUAAAGAAGAAUGAAAGCACGAGAACAGAAGGGAAGUUUUAUUGUGUGAAAGUCCAUUUCAUAACUUGAAAACGCACCAGCUUUAGACAUAAAAAUAUCUUCAAUAAAUAAUGGAAGAUAUAGACAGCUAAGUUUAUAGCUCAAUGCAUCUUUCUGACAUACAUCCUUACAGAACGAAGACAAAUCAACAACUCGUUAAAAAUAAGCAUACCUUUGUGAACAAUGGAGCAUACUCCUUCGCAGAUUCCAGACACAUUUCUUCAAGUUUUAGUAUUACUUCAAUCUGGAGUGAAAAAAUUGAAACCACGGAGAGAGGGCAGAUGAUUAAGUAAUAGGAAUCAAAUAGGGGCAUCAAGUAAAUGGUUACUGUAUUCGAAACAUUAAUAUUACUGACAACAUUUCAAUUAAAAAAUACCAUGCCAAUGUUAUGUAACAACUCGAGAGUUCAUUAAACGAAAAAAUUGCCUUCAUGUUUCACACAAUCAAAGAUCUUUUGCUUUUCUUUCUCAGAUGCGUGAAACCACCGCAAUGUCACAAUCAGAUCAAGCAUUGACCAAGCUAAAAGAAUGCUCGGCACUGCAUAUGUAUACAGCAAAACACAGCACUGCAUAUGUAUGCAGCAAAAACACAGCACUGCGCAUUUAAUUUUGUGAAAUUGUCUUUUCAUUAAGCCUUAAAAAUGGACAUCAGAUGAUAAUUAAACCAUUGAAAAAAAAAUGUAGGAUAGAUUCUCCAAAAAACUACAGGAAUGAACGUGAAUAAUUUCAACACGUAAGAAAGAAUUGACAGCCGCACCUGCUCAUCCAUAUCACUCAGAUAGGGUGCAAGAACAUUUUUCCAUUGUUUAAGUACAUCCUGAACAUUCUUCAUCAAGCUAUCUGAAAAAUCAUCCCAGACAUCAUAAAAAGCAUUAAGCAAGCAUAAGAAAUACCAAAAAAGAAAAAGAAUAACAUAUCUACAAACUGAUAAAAAAUAAAAUCAGAUGAAUCAGAACUACCUAACAUUACCCCAGUAGAAGGAGUCAGACACGUGGAUCAACCAACACCAUUAGAAUCAAUCAAAAACCAAAUUUUCAGUAAAACCAUCUAGAGCAAAUUCUUUUCAAUUAUUCUAAUGUUUUAUUAAGUCUUCCUCUACCCCUUUUAAUUGCACUGCCUUCCACUUGACUUGUCACUUUUCUCACUAGAGCCUCCAACUGACUCAUUUAUCUCAUUCUGAAUAUUUAAUUGUUUGGUAUCUCUGACAAGUUUUUCGGGACACCAAGUUUUCCAAAUAGGUUUGUAGUUCUAAACUAAGUUAUGGAAGAAUCUUUUAUCAAAUAAUAAGAAAGGAAUGGCUAAUAAAAAAGGCAUGGAAAAUAAUAAUAAGAUCAGGUAGCCAUAGAGAGAAGGAAUAAGCUUACCAGCUGAACUAUGGGGCAUGUCUAUAGCAUGUUUCAUCAUUGCAUAAAAUACAGCUCCAGCGCAAUCAGCAGUUACCUUAUUGUAUGACAACCUAACACAUAAAUAAAGGCCAUGUUUCUAUUAAUACAGCCCAGUAAACACAUUAAAAAGUGUGAUCAUAUAAAAAUAAUAAAAACAUAUGUUGAGAACACCAAUGUCGAUAAAUUGCAGUAAGAAUACUUCUAAACACAUCCUAUGAAGAUACCAUAGCUUCUAGACAUAAUGGAAUGCAGAUUCUUUACAUUUUUUAUUAAGAGCAGUUGUAAGUUUGGAUGAUCUAGAAAAAGCAGAAUUCCCGAUCUCAUUUCAAGGAUAUCCUAUAAUUUGAUUGCUAUCCUCAGCUUUUUAGACAACUCAAGAAACUCUGUUACACCAAUAAUUGUCUGCCUCCUUCAUUUCCAAUUUGUUAAUAAACAUCAGCAUCAAAACAACUGAAUGCAUGCUUGAAUAUGGGAGGGCAUGUUAAAUUAACGGCUUAUAGAGUGGAUUUACUAAUGGAACACAAUAUAGGUAGAUGUAAGAGAACAGACGAAAAAGGUAAAAAAGGAAGUUGAACAUGAAAACUGAAGGUAACUCAAAUGCUCUGCUCUAUAAUUAGUAUGAGAUGCCACCAUUAGAAAUGUGAAACAACAUCUAUGCACACGUUCACCACAUCCAAAAGUAGAUCUGAGAUCCAAUAUACAGACCGACACCAGAACUCUCUCUCCCUCUCUCUCUCUCUGUGUGUGUGCGUGGUUGUAAUUUGAUGCUUGAAAAUCGCAAGAAACGGAAUAGGCCUCCUACAGUCUACAUACAACUUCAAACAAUCCACAUAAAUAAAUUACAUACUUCAAGGAGUUGACUUCUAAGAUCAAAUGGUUAUCUUGUAUGUUUUCAUCCACACCCCUGAGAAAAGUUGCUUCAACCUGCAAAUGAUAGGAUAUUUAAAAAUCUGAUAUCCACAAAGUGUAAGUGACAUAAGUUUUACAGGUUAAAAUUCACACCUCUUUAUCAAAAUCAUCUCUAGAAUCGUCAUUAUCAUCAUCAUCUGAAUCACUAGAAUCAGGUUUCAGCUCCCCAGAAGGUGGGAGAAUGGUGUCAUCAUGUGUUAACUCCAAAUCAUCUUCAAUAGCUUUCAGUGCUUCCAAAAUUUUAUCUGCAGUAAUAGGCGCUACUGAAUGCCUCCACUCUUCUUCAUGGCCUCCUUCACAUUUUGGCCAAACAUAACCAGCCCCACCCAUACCUAGCUGAUCAAUGAAACAAAUUGAAAUGAGAAACAUUAAAUUCAUUAUAGAAUGAAAUUUUUAUCAACCAAAUCUUAGCUUCACAGAUUAAGAAUCUCAAAUUCCUAAUUAGGUUAAAUGUCUAUAAUUAUUUUGGUACAAGAUGAGACUGGAGCCAAAAAAGAAAGCUAGAUUAGUGUUAGUGUUCUGUACUAGACGAUUAGGAUGUACAAGCUUAUAGAAGUUUGUAGUGUAUGGAGUUCAGACAUGUGUUAAAACUGGCAUAUGUAUCCAUUCUAUUCUAGCUGUAAGCCUGUGACCAAUUCUGUUGUAAAAUAAAUGGACAACUCAUUGUUAGAUUAGACAAUUUAUGUUAUUGGGCUGGUUUCUGUUAGUUGAGGGAGUUCAAGGGAUUGUCAGUAAUUAAAUCUCUAACAAAAUGGGAGGAUAGGAAAUAGAAAAGAAAGAAGAUAAGGCAUCAUUCUGGAUAGUUGGAGAUUUGUCUGCGUGGGAGAUCUCACGCUUUAGAAAUCCUGAGAUAAACCAUAACCAAAUUCGGAUAGCUUGUAUUCAUCCUUUCUAAUGUUCAAGGGCUAGGGAAGGUUUCAUCAACCAAAUUCUAUCUUUUCUUUCAUUUUCCCCCUAAUAUCUGAACAACAACCAAUCAACUAAUUACAAACAAUCCCUAGAACUCCCUCAACUUGCAUAAACUAGCCCAAUAACAAAAAUGAGCCCAUCGGGCUUACCGAACACCCAACGACAAAGCAGCUACAUCUAACUAAUCAAUAACUUGCAAUAUAUAUACUCUACCACACAUGUAAUCAUUGUAACUUUUCUAUCAGAGUUAAGAAUGAACAGUAUAGCUAUUCUCAGAGAUUCUCCUAUUAACUUUCUCACACCUUGUAUCUCCAAUGCCCAACCAUUCUGCAGUAACAGACCUAACUGACCUUUCUUUUCCGGGUUCCUAACACAAUUUCAUUAAAAAUCACUUGCAUCUAAACUUAAUCUUCAUGAUCUGCCUACAAAUAAGUUGAGACAUACUCAACACAAUGGUGAAAAUUAUAAAGUGAAAAGUUCUGCAAAACAAACCUCUGAAGGAGGGCUAAAAUGUGUAUCCAAUUCCUGGUAAGCAAUUUCUACAUCUGACUUAUCCACUGUACUGGUGAUAGCUGCAAACAUUAAAAUGGUAAUUGGAAGGUAUAAUAUAUGCAUUUGACCUAUCAAUACAUAGCAUAAAGAAAAAGGAAUUUGCUUAUAACUUAAUAUAGAAGCUCCAGUAAGAAUAAUUGACCAAAUGGAGAAUAACCCAAUAAUUCAGUGAAGUAUUCUUUAAGGACCUAAAAUUUGUAUUAUAAAUCAAUUACAGAAUCAAACUUUUACUGUUACCAACUAAUGGCUUCAAGAUUACUAAAACAUAUUUUAUUGAAAAAUGGAAGACAAAAAUAUCCCACAUGACAAACAAAAAUAACUUAUAAUAUAGACAGAAUACACGGCAUAGGCAUUUGAGCCUUUCACUAAUUAUUUAUAAAUAAAUACUUUUCAAAAAGUUUAGUUCUUCUACAGCAAAGAAGACUAAGAAAAACUUAAUUAAACCACUCAAAAGGAUUUAAAUCUUUACAAUCCCUCCAAAGAAUAAGAUUUUGAUAAAGUAUAAUAACAUUGAUUGAUCCAUGUAGCUGGCACACAAAAAGUAAUUUAUAUACAAGAUUACUGGAAUUACAUAAAUCAAGCCACUCCUAACUAAAACAGCUAAUCGAGCUCAAAAUACUCAUUUUAAGAAUUAGACACACUCACUCAAGAAAAUUGAAUUCUAUGGAAAUAAAUUAUCAGUGGCGUCAGUGUUGCUUUUGGGUCGAAACAACUGUCUCACUGGUUUUGUUAGUUAUGAGAAAUAUUUUAUACUCUAGCAUUAGUAAAUUAAAUAAUAGGAGAAUAAAAGAUGAGGGUAUGUAUCUCCAGGGCACAGUUGAAAGUUAAAUGAAAAUUCAGCAAUACCACUAGCACUAUCAGCAUAUUCGAGCUCCUCAUCACUAUCUUCCUCAAUUGGCUGCUGUAAUAGAGAUACUUUUGAAUAAGGAGGAACAACAAACCCCUGCCCAACUACAACCUAGAAGCAAAAAAAUUAUGAUUGCAUCAAAAGCUGUAUACAUCAUGAAUAAUGGGCAAAUUCCAUCUAGCAAUGAAUAACUAAAAAAGUCUCUGUAUUCCAAUCUUUGCAAUGGAAAGAGUAACUGAAAUAAACAGGAAGUCAACUGAACUUAACCCAGUUCUUUUCUUAGAUUCAUGCAUGGUCAUAAAAAGUGUAAAUAAAGAAACAGCAUAAGAAAAAACAUUAUAGAAAAUAAUAGUUAAUGUUAUAAUACUAUAAUAGAGAAUAAAAAAAAAAACUGCUUCAAUUAUUCUUGAGUAUCAACUAAAGCCUUUAGUUUAAAAGAUCUUAAUACUUAAAGAAGUCCAAACAUAUGAGAAACCAUAAGAAUGAAAGUAUGGCUCCUGAAAUGGAAUGGUAUAAGGACACGAACCUUGAAAGACAAAACAACACCAGGUUCCAGAACAGCUCCCGACUUCAUAGUCGCUCCAUCACAUACAAUUGCAUGCCAAAGUUUGCAGCCAUCUUCUAUGGUGACGUUAUCCCAUAUAUAGCAUCCCUCUAUGAGUACAUCUGACCCAAUUUUACAUCCUUCUCCAAUAAUAGAAUUUGAAAUUUUAGUGUUAUACCCAAUUUUGGUGCCAGAUCCUAUAGCUGUGGACGGGCCAAUAACAGCAGAUUGUGACUGAGAUAUUUCUGAAAGAACAAAAGAAUUUAUUAAAACAGAAUAUAUUAAUAAAUGAAAAUUAAGAAAAUCAGUAAAAAAUAGUUUGGACUUUGGACUCGAGAAUCUAAAAGCAAGGGUCAUAAUAGGAUAAUUACUUAUUCAGAAAGUUUAAUCUCAUAGGAGAUGAAUAACCAAGUACAUUACACGAAGAAACAAACAUAGUCAUUGAUUGAAACUAAACCAAUAUAUGAGUAUUGAGUACACCAUAUUAUCAUCCAAGGUUUAAAACUCUUCACCAGCACACCAUUCAACACUAAACUUUACAUCCAUACCUGAAGCACGAUACAUUCCUUGUCGUUCAAGUUUAGUAGCUGUCUUGCCAAAAUUCAUAACAUCUGGUACAAAUGGAUAUGUCCAUCUAUGAAUUAUAUCCUUGCUGACAGUGUCGUAACUUCGGAAAUUAUCAAUCCUUGCAGCAUAGUCUGAGUGGAUUUCAUGAACAAAGAUUUUGUACCCCAUUAUCUGAAAGAAAUAUAUGGUAAUGUUAAAGAGGUGUAUACAGAAUGCUAAAAUCAAGAGAAUCUGACCCAUAGAAGAAUCUUUUUUUUUUGAAAUACCCAUAGAAGAAUCUAUUAGCAACCUAAAUGGUGAGGUAGUAUCCUAAAAUAACUUGAAGGCUUGUGCAAGAAAUGCACAAUACUUUCUCAUAGUUCCAAUGCAUCAUGACAAGAAACUUUUGGAAAAGUGACCCAAUACUGAAGUAGUUUACUAUUAUAGUUUCAACACAUGCAAACAUGUGAUGUGAUCAAUACAAAAUAGCACCUAUGGUUAUAUGUGUAACGUGUUCCUCAAAUAAGGCACUACUGAAGGAAUGUUGAAGGUCUGUAUGAGAUUAAAGUUAGCUCUUUUGUUGCAGUAAAGGAACAAUUCAUGAGGAUGAGCUAUUUCCUUCCGUUACAAACUUGAGGAAUAAUUCCCAAAAGAAUAGCAUACACUAGAGUACUGAAACAACAAUGUAUGUCAAUUUAGCAUGUGGAAGAGAAAUUACAUCAUCAACAAGCAAUCCCUUGACAAAAUGACGCCGUAGAUGUUGGUAGUCAAAAUUGUCCGUAAAUAGGCUAAGGACUUCCGGCGAGCAUAUGUCAAUGUAACAAUCCUGCAGAAAGGAAAUUAUCGACCUAAUGAACUCCGAAAGUAUAAUAAGGUUGCAUAGGCCACAAGGAUAUGACCUAACAAAGUAGUAAUGAAUAACAAAGAAACAAUAAGAACAGUAAAUAGUUCACAAAACAACUAAUGAUAAAAUUAGAUUGGUAACACAUCAUUGAUUGAGCGUCUCUUGGCACACAGACCAAUCAUGAGGUAAGCAUCACUGACUAGGAAAUAUAUUAAGUUAAAGAUUCUACCUGCUUGUCAUGGUGCAGAGAGAGGGAAGGAUUAUCAACAAGCAAUGACUUAUCAAGAUGUAAAGUGCUUUUUGAAUAGUCUGCCUUAUCCUCAUAAUACAAAAGCUGCUUGGUAUCAGGAUCAAUGGCCAUAAAAAUUUCAUCAGUACCAAGUCGAGACUGAUGGAUAGCUUGAUUAGGUUUUGACCGUUUGAUGACCAUGGUCAUUACAGCGUUACUAUCUUUCUUCUUCCUUUCUUUAUGUUCUAGAAGUGCCUGAGUAAGUGACAUGUUGCUUACAGUAUCUCCACUGAUCAGGACAAAGUCUCCAUGUAUCUUGAAAACAACAUUAUCAUAAAGUGUUACUACUACACAUACAAAACCUGGUCCCAAUAAAUUACUCAAAGUGUGAAAGAAGACUAUGUUAACAAAAUCACCACUCAGACAGUAAUAACAAGAUCAUCAUGUGUGAUGUGUGAAGUACUACACAUUUUUUAAUAAUCCACUACAGAGAAAUGCUACCAACAUAUUUUGAACACACUCUUCAACACAUUCACUACGAUUGGCUCAUUUUUUACAAAGUCAACAUGUUUCUUUAUAAGUUAUCAGUUUACCAGACAAAUUGUGUAACAUUACAAAAAAAUAGACAAAUCAUAGAGACAUGUUCAAAAGAGUGCAUUGCCGGCAAUCUCGGUAUCAAAUCACAAAACACAAUUACAAUGGACUGGCAGUGGCAGUGGCAAUUCCUAAAAAGAAGCUAUAAAAACAGAGCAUGCAGAACUUGUCAUCAUAGAUAGAGCCAUGUUAGAAGACAAACCACAUUGCGCUCAUAGAUCACGCGGAGCGCGUCUCCAGCGCUCACAGAAUUCUGCGACUCGAUAGUGGUCACGGUGAAAUUCGGUUGCGAUAACCACUCGGAUUUGUCCAAAUAUUGAAUCACUUGCUUGGCAUGAGCACAGCAGAAAACGAAAACCUCUUCAACACCAGCGGAUUCGAGCCAGGUCAAGGUGUAAUUGAUCAUCGGAACAUUCACGAGUGGCAAUAACACCUACAAUAGCAGGAAAAACAAAACUGCGUUACAUUGCGUGAUUCAACAGCAAAUGCAUUGAAUCCAAAGAGGGAGAGGGAGAAAAAGUACCUUGGGGCGUUCAAGCGUGAUAGGUCUGAACUUGGUGGUGAAGCUAUCAGCCAAGAGAAUGGCCUGCCAUGGAACCCUAACCAAAUCGUCAGGGUCCUCUGAAACCCUAGCGGAGCUUUUCUUUGGUGCACCCAUUUUGUUCGUUACACGAAGCACGCACGAUUAACUGCUAUCCGCAACGAUCAGAAGCGAUGCUACUCUGACUACUUAGUUUGAUUUUCGCCUUCUCUUCCGUCGCAGACAGGUAACUGCGGAGGAGGAAGAAGACGCAUGGUGUUUUGUAUUAAUGAUUCCGAACAAUAGAAAAAUUAGGUAGAGAACGGUGCGUUGUGACGGCACAGGCGAAAAACGGAAGAGAAACGCACCUGUGUGACGGCGGGUGGCGGUGGUUGCGGCGGAGGGGCGAGGGUACCGGCGGUGUGAACUGUGAAGCUGCUUACGCUGAAACAAAGCUAGGGAGCUAGUGCUUGAGCUUGAGACAAUGAAGCUUUUUUCCUUUUUCUUUUUUUUCUUUAUGAAAAUGAAAUCUUAUAAAACCAUAUCAAUUUUCCAAUGUUUAAUAUUUAUAGUAAUAAAUUAGUCUUAUAUUAGAAUAAUUAAGGCUAUUUAAAUUAUCGGUUAUAUUUUUUGGCCCUCGUAUGAUAGCUCAAGUGGUAGGAGCUAGGGGGACAUAUGAGUUGGGAUCCAGGGAUCGAUUCCUGCACGAGUGUAAUUUAUCUUUCUGAUGUACCCACUAGACCUCUCUCACCCAAUCCACAUGUCUCAUAUCUUAAGGGUAUUGUUUAGUUUUGUUAUCUAAUAAGAAAUUAUCAUGAGUCUAGUUAUUACUAUAAAUUUGAAUAAGUAUUUUAUCUUUUAAUCAAUUGAUUGUUCGGAAUUCUUUCAAUUUCAACACAAACAACAAAACUUGAAGAGGUUUUAGGUGACCAGAAUGAGGAGCAAGAGAAAAAAGGGGCGUUUCGGUCAAGCUUGUGUUAGCACAGUUUUUUUUUGGGUUAAAUGUGUUCACCGUCCCUGAACUUUGAGCUAGAUCUGGUUUACGUCCCUCGUCGGAAAAUCUUCCUAGCGCCAUCCUCAAACUCAAUUGUUUGUACGGAAACCGUCCUUGCCGUCGAUGAAACUCCGGCCGCCGUGUCCAGGUGUCACUUUGGAGCUGACGUGUAAUUUUUUUUAAAAUAAAAUAAGAAAUAACAUAAUUGAUUUUUAGCUAACCCCAAAUCUUUCCUAAUUUAAUUUCUAAACCUUAAAACUAAAACUAAAACUUUUUUUUUGGGUCCUUUUUAGUUUUUCAUCUAUACUAAAACUAACACUAACAGUAAAUAAAAGAACGGUUAUAAAAAAAAAAAUUAAAUAUGAAAGAAUGUGCUUUGUGAAAAAUCAAAGCACAAAAUCAGAUCUGGGUUUCUCUUUUCUUUCUGUUUUCCUUGUCCAUCAAUGGCAGACUACGACACCCACCACCACCAACAGCGCCUCCAGUGCUGCCACGACGCCACUGUUGGAUCCCCAUCACGCUCCUCUCCCUCGCCCACCUCAUCUUCUACGUCUCAGUCGCACAGACGUUCCGCUCCAUCAACGACGUCAAGGACCAGCGCCACUGCCACAAGCUUACUCUAGGCUUGGCCACCGAGAAGCUCCGGGAGAUGAGGAUGCGCCUCAGCAGCGUUGCCGCCGGUGAUCUGCCACACCUUCAUCCCCCUUUCUCUCCUCUCUCCGGCCACUUCCAUUCCCAUGUUGUUUUGUUGCCACAAAACCCUCUCUCCCUCAUCAAACCCAAACCCGACAAUUAAAGAUCGCACCUUUCCUUCUCCGCCGGCGAAGAAGAACGCAGAACCGGUGGCAGCGCUGGAGAUUCUGGUGCUGGAGAUUGGGGGUUUUAGGGGUUUUGGUGAACAGGUGGAGAUUUAAGGUUUCUGCAGAUCCCCAAUCCCCGACGCCGGAGCGAAGACUCCUCCUCCUCCACUGCAUCUCAUCUUAUAUCACGAAUCUGGGUUUGUAAGCAUUUUUCAGCGAGGAUUCUAGCGUACAGGUUGUGGUUCCCUCUCACCAGAGCUAAGGAAUCUAGUGUCCAGGUUGUAUUCUUAGGACUUUAGUAAUUUUUCAAUUUAAAAUUACCAAACCGUGAUGAAAUUGGGUUUGUCUGUAAAGCCAUUUGAUUGUUAGUAUAACCAUUGUAAUAUCGUUUUAUUCUCUGGUGUGUUCAUGUUUUGAAUUUUUUAUGUAGUUCACUAUCUUCUCACGCUUCAAAUUUUUGGGUUUUUCUUAGAUGGAGGUUCUAGGAAAAAUUGGAGAAGAUGAAGAAGUGAUGAACAUAAUGAAAAACCCAGAAAUCGAACUAAAGGAAGAACCCUAAUUUAUGGGUUGGGUCUGAAGGAGGAAGAUGAUGGAGAGGGUUUUGAUUUAGGGUUAGUUUUAGUUUAGAGUUUAGAAAUUAAAUUAGGAAUGUUCGGGGGGCUUAAUUACAAAUAAAAAUAUUUAGUUUUUUUUAAAUUAACACGUCAUUUCAUUAAAUGACGUGGCAUGGCCACAUAGGACGGUUGGGUACGGUGGCCGGAGGCAAAUCGCCGGCAAGGACGGUUUCCAAACAAAAAAGGUAGUCUGAGGGUGGCGCUAGGAAGAUUUUCCGGCGAGGGACGGAAACCAGAUCUCGUUCAAAGUUCAGGGACGGUGAACACAUUUAACCCUUUUUUUUUUCUAAAAAGAAACACUAGUCAACCAACACCAUUUUGUUCGGUUUUCGCGUGUGUUCCGUUACAACAUUGGUCCACGUGGGACUAAUGAUUUCCAAGACUGGUUCAAUGGAUGAAACUCACUUGAAGAAUUGGUUGAACAUGGGUUUACGUUGGUGCAUCAGCUUCAAUCAGGCAUUAGUGAGUCCUAAUGGUGUUGGUGCAACAAUUUUAAAGUGACUUAAAUAGGUUAAGUCGAAAUGAGUUGUAAGGUCAUUAAUCUCAAGUCAUCCUUCCACACAUAGCACAUUAGCAAAGUUAUUUGACAAAUUAAAGUUACAGAUUUAAAACGUUAUUUUUAUGCGGAGUGACUAAAAUCAAGCUCGCUUACAAAAUUAGAGACUAAUUUAAUCAUUAACCAGUUCAAAUCUGACUAUGACAAAUUGAUUAAUUUUAAUUGGAUGGUUGUGUAAAAUAAUUCACACUAAUUAAUUAACUCAACCCUUUAAAACAAUAAUUAACUCAACACUUAGGUAUGUAAUAACCAAAAUAAAUAUGAAUGUGCAUAUAUAAUAACUAAUACUCACGCAUAUUUGCACCAAUUAUUGAUUAAUUUACUAAAUAAAAUUUAUUAGGGCAUAAUGAUAUUUAAUUAUCCAUAUGACACAUGAUAUUCAAAAUCAAGGGUCUUAAUAUACGCAACGGAAUUCACAAUCACAACUUCGUCCUCAUCUUGAGCACGUCGUCUCCUUUCUCCCACGCACCAACAUUCACGCCUCCAUUGAACUCUCUGUCACGAUAGGUUCAACCUCUGCAAGUUCGACCAAAACGAUAACGAGUCUAGGCUGAGCAUGUUGGAGAGAUCAACGACAAAUCCAAUAUGAACAUACACAGGGCCGCCGUGUAGGGGGCUAGGAAAAGUAGGCAAUUGCCUAAGGCCCCCUAGAAUAUAUAAGGCCUCAAAAAUAUUUUGUAUGUAUAUACUAUAUAAGAUAUAUUAUUGAGACUUGAUAGAGUAAUGAAACAAUAAAAAAUUAUGCAACAUUAAUCGUAACAUGGAUAAUGUAAUGUAAGAACUUAAAAGUUCAACGUAGAAUGUGCAACUUUGGUAUUAUUAGUAGUAUUAUUUUGUAUUGGCAAAUUUACAUUUUUCCGAAAAAUUAAUAAAUAAAAUAGUUGUUGUUUAUACAUUUCGAAAACUAAAAAUAUUAAAUUGUGUCACUCAUAACAUUUAGAUUUUUAAUCACUUAUAUAUAUAUAAUAUAGUAUUAUAUAAGUUUGCUCUAGCUUCACUCGUUAUUUCUUCUCUAAAAAAUGAUUUUUUUUUCAUCACUUUAACAUUUUCGCCUUAGGCCCCAAAAUCUCUCUACACGGCCCUGAACAUACAUUAUGAUGCCACUAAGAUAAGAUUUCACCAUUGUUAGAUCUCAUUGUCAUAGCCCACCCUUAGCUGGGGCAGAGCCGGGCAAUAAUGAAGACAAAGCGGAUAGUGUGGCAGUGAUCAACAACGAUGAGGGUGAGAGGUGAAUCUCACUAUGAAAUUAACACAUUAAUUAAUGAUUAAUUUGAUUGUCAUUAUUAAAAAAAAUCAAAGGUCAAUAUUGUGUAUAGCAAAGCAUGGAGUUUCUUAAAUCUCAACCCCAAAUUUUCAAUCAAAUGACUAUUACUCCUUACCUUUUUUUUUUUUUGAUAAGCACUCCUUACCUUACUCUCCAAGGUGAAUCUCACUAUGGUGACUAGUAUGUCAUGGCUGUUUACACAAGACAUAAUGAUUUACAAAUGAAUUCCCCACUGCAGAUGCCAAGAUAAUGAUGAAAACAACGAAGCAUGUUUAACAACAAAUUCUCAAAUAACCAUCUUCUGUUCCAACCAGAAACAAUCGAGAGAAUGGUAGUAUACUAAUGCUUGAUAAUGCUGACAAGCUUCUCAUUCCAUUAUCAGAAACGUAGAGUUUCUGGGGGAUAAUGUGAUGCUGCCCAUCCUGUGUCAUGGAACCACAUAAUCAUUAUAAAAUCAUCUAUAUGAACAAACAAAGGGGGAAAAUCACAUCAAGCAACAACGAUAUAACUAAAGCAAGAAUGAAUGGAGUUAUUUUGACAACUAAAUUAGGUGCUAGACAAGCUAAAUCAACAGACCCUUCCUAAUUCCUAUCAUCAUCAUGCAAAUAUGAGCCUUAGAGAAAGAGAAGCGUACUGUUUCACUGGCACAUUUAGACAAGGAAAGAAGCCCGAUCCUAUUUCGAGAAAUUGAAAUAACAUCUUGGCCCCAAAUGCAGAAAUUGGAUAUGCCAUCAGAAUGACCUCUGAAAAUAAUGGGCUGCAAUGGCAAAUUCCUGCAAGGAUAAUAAAAAUAAUGUUGUUAAACAAAGCUUAUCACUUUCAUUAGGUUUUUUUUUCAGGAAUAUACUUUCAAAUAAACAAAUGCAUUACACCAAGCAGACUGUGUAUGAAACGUAUAACCACAGAAACAAGGCAAGGGAAGUCCAAAACUGACAUGAGAAUGAAUAAAGAACAAUUUAAUGUUAGUCAAAUAAGAUCUUUUGCUAAUUUUGGUCAUCAUAAAAUUCUUUAUUUCCUGGAGUGAAAUUAUAUACACAUUUUUAUAAUGGAGUUUGGUAAUAACUAGUAGGUGCAUAUGCCAUAAGGGGUGUCAUCCUUCAAACUUCAAUUGACCAUUUGCUUUACCUACUAACAACUUUCAUGUGUCCAAAUAUACAAAUUUUGAUCUCUAAUAGAAGAAGCUUAAAAGAGACAGCUCACAGCUUAGAAUGGUCCAAAACACCUAAGGAAUUUAAGAUUCAUGGGGUCAUAGCUCUUACAUUCUUAAGUCCCAGACUCUUAAAGUUCUGUCCAGAGAGCUGGAAAUGAGCAGAUGCUCGUCAUGUGAUGCCAACUGUAAACAAUGACAUUGUUGAAACUGUUGGAAAAUAUAUCAGUAUUUAUUGUUUUCCAGUCAAUUCUAGAGAUUCUAUUAUUGACUUUUUUAUAUGUAAUAAUUUUCUCCUUAAUUCAAGGAGUAGUAAUUCUCUCCUUAAUUCAAGGAGUAAUAAUUGUAUCCUCUCUAUAAAUACCAGCCUUUGGCUGAGGAAUAAAAUAGAACAGCAUUUACCUAUUAUUUUUCAAUAUGGUAUCAAGAGCCCUAGGUUGGGACUUCUACUGUAGAGCUUUCCACAGCUAGUCUGAUCAACCUAUUUCCUUCCCCGACCCGUUUCACAUACCCAUUUAGCCUCCUAUGGCAGGUCGCAAUAGGUGGCCCUCCAUAGCAGAGGCCUACACCGGAUCCACAGCCAACCACGGCGAACAAUCACUUGACUCGGGCGUCAACAGCGGUGAUGGCGGUGGCAAAGGAGACGGCGGUGGCCGCGGUAAUGGUGGUGGUCGUGGAGAUGGCACACCAAAGUUCGUCACAAACAGUGGCGGUAAUGACGGCAACAAUGAAAACAGAAACAACAGUGUUUAUGGUGACAGUAAUGUCAAUAUAGGUUGCAAUGACCAAGAGGGUUCCUCAUACUCCCUCAAGGUCAAUAUUCCUAAGAUGAAUGGGAAGAACUAUAAUGAAUGGGCCCAAACCGUUCGCUUGGUAUUGGAUAGCAAAGGGAAGCUUGGUUUUUUAACAGGAGCAGUAGCUGAACCAACAAGCGGAGACCCUCGUUACAAACAAUGGAAAUCUGAAAACUCCUUGAUUAUUGCUUGGUUGGUAAGCUCUAUGGAAACUGGAAUAGGUAAGCCUUACAUGUUUUUGCCUUCUGCAAAGGAUGUGUGGGAAGCUGUUAAGGAAACAUACUCUGAUAUUCAAAACUCCUCCCAAAUUUUUGGUUUAAAAUCAAAGUUAUGGCAGGCUAAACAAGGUGACAGGAGUGUAACUGCUUAUUACAAUGAGUUGUUGACCCUGUGGCAAGAAUUAGAUCUCUGUUAUGAUGACAAUUGGAGGUGUACAGAAGAUAGUGUUCUGUUUCUCAAGAGGCAAGAAAAUGAUCGUGUCUUCAUGUUUCUUGCUGGGCUAAAUACAGACCUUGAUGAGGUAAGGGGUCGAGUUUUAGGAAAAAUACCAUUGCCAACUCUUCGUGAAACUUUUGCAGAAAUCAGAAGGGAGGAGGCACGACAAGGAAUUAUGAUGGGCAAGACACCACGAAGUUCUGAAUCUGAAGGCUCUGCUCUGGCUACUAGGAACCUCGGCGAGGGAAAAAGGUCAGAAAAAGUUCCUUGGUGCGAUCACUGCAAGCGCGAAUGGCACACACGUGAAAAUUGUUGGAAGCUCAUAGGAAAACCUCCUAGCUGGAAGAAGAAAGGUCGUCGUGCAUUUCAAGCAAGUAAUUCUGAUCAAGGGCAGCAAUCCUCUUCGACUCAGCUUCCGCUCACUACGGAACAACUAGACAAACUGCUCAAACUCCUCGAGUCUUCAACCCCUUCUUGCUCUAUAGCAACAAAAGGUAAUUCUGCAUGUCUUAGUGUCAGUCCCAGUCAUACUUGGAUAUUAGAUUCAGGUGCCUCGGAUCACAUGACAAGUGAAUCCACCUUGUUUUCUUCAUAUAGUCCAUGUGCAGGUAAUCAAAAAAUAAAAAUUGCAGAUGGCUCUUUUUCAGCCAUUGCAGGUAAAGGGUCAGUUGUGUUGUCUCCAGUGUUAACUCUUAACGAUGUCCUUCAUGUUCCAAACUUAUCCUGUAAUUUAAUGUCUGUUAGUAAAUUAACCCGAGAUAUAAAUUGUCAAACCAAUUUUUUCCGUUCUCACUGUGUCUUUCAGGAUUUGAACUCGGGGAAGAUGAUUGGCAGUGCUAAGGAGAGUGGAGGACUCUACUACCUUGACAUUGGAUCUGCAUCACAACUACCUCCAAAAACAAUAAGUUCCUGCUUUGAAUCCUUUUUUGUUUUGAAUAAUAAUGAUGACAACGUUAUGUUAUGGCAUUUACGAUUAGGUCAUCCUAGUUUUCAUUACUUAAAACACUUGUUUCCUAAGUUAUUUUAUAAUAAGAACCUUUCUUUGCUUAAAUGUGAAGCAUGUGAGUUUGCAAAGCAUCAUCGUUCCCAAUUUCCAAUACAGCCAUAUAAACCAUCAAAACCUUUUUCUAUUGUUCACAGUGAUGUUUGGGGCCCUAACCGUACAAGUACACUUUCUCUUAAAAAAUGGUUCAUCACAUUUAUAGAUGACCAUUCAAGAGUAUGUUGGGUGUACUUGUUAAAGGGGAAAUCAGAUGUUUGUCGGGCUGUAAAGGAUUUUUGUACAAUGGUGCAGAACCAAUAUCAAACAAAUAUUCAAGUCUUUAGAAGUGAUAAUGGCAAAGAAUAUUUUAACACUAUUUUGGAUGAUUUUUUCCUAAAAAAUGGGAUUGUACAUCAAAGUUCAUGUCCUAAUACUCCUCAACAAAAUGGAGUUGCUGAAAGAAAAAAUAGACAUUUAUUGGAGGUUGCUAGAGCAUUACUUUUCUCAAGUAAAGUACCAAACUAUUUGUGGGGCGAAGCUGUUUUAACAGCGGCAUAUUUAAUUAAUAGAAUGCCCUCCAAAGUUCUCAAUUUCCAAACUCCAAUUAAUACUUUCAAAGAAUGUUUUCCUAGUACUCGUGUUUCAACUGAUUUGACAUUAAAAAUCUUUGGUUGCAUAGCCUUUGUUCAUGAACAUAAAAAUGUUGGAAAACUUGAACCACGUGCUAUAAAAUGUGUUUUUGUUGGAUACUCCCCAACCCAAAAGGGGUAUAAAUGUUUUGAUCCAAAAAACAAGAAAAUGUUUGUCACUAUGGACGUUACGUUUUUUGAAAAUAAACCUUUUUUUAAUGACACUCAUCUUCAAGGGGGGGAUAUAAAGGAAGACUCGUUUCAAAUUGAGGACAUGAGUUUUUUAAAUAAAUUAUCUUUGCCUGUACCACAAAGCUCUAAGACUUAUAGUUCUGCACCAACAGAAAAUGGCCAAGAUACUCUAUCUGAUCCUACUCCUGUUAUGAGUAAGGAACUUGAGGAAUCAGAGCCUACAUUUUCUCAUGAAGAAACCAAUGAGAAUCUUGACAAUAGGGAUGAUGAUGAUCUAAUUAAAAUGCCACAAAAUAAUGAGUCACUUAAAGAGAACAGAUUUGAAGUAGGAAACAGGACUUGGAAAGGGAAGGUUUAUGUGAAAAAGCACCACAAAGAAAGGAAUGAGUCCACAUCUCAACACUGUCAGGAAUCUGAACCGGGGAAUGAUCAACCUCCUAAGAAAAUGAAAGGUAAGUCUAUCUCUGUUUCUGAGAGUCGUAUUUUGUAUCCUGAUAUAGAUGAUCCUGUUGCCAUUAGAAAACCUGUUAGAUCUUGCACUAAACACCCUAUUUCCAAUUUUAUAUCAUAUUCAAAUUUGUCUUCAUCUCUGUCUGCCUUCACCUCAAAAUUGUCUAGUGUAGAAAUUCCAAAAAAUGUCCAGGUUGCUCUAGAAAUUCCAAAGUGGAGGGAAGCUGUACUUGAGGAGAUGACAGCUCUUGAAAAGAACAAAACUUGGAGUGUUAUGACACUACCAGAUGGCAAGAAGACAGUUGGAUGCAAAUGGGUGUUUACUGUGAAGUAUAAUUCAGAUGGGUCAAUUGAAAGGUACAAGGCUCGCUUGGUGGCGAAGGGCUUUUCUCAGACCUAUGGUAUAGACUACUCAGAGACAUUUGCUCCUGUUGCAAAAUUGAACACUGUCCGAAUUCUCUUAUCUCUUGCUGCCAACCUGGAUUGGCCCCUACAUCAAUUGGAUGUUAAGAAUGCGUUUCUUAAUGGUGAUCUAGAAGAAGAAGUAUAUAUGGAGAUUCCUCCUGGCUUUGAAAGCAAAUUUGGAUCAAAUGUAUGCAAACUAAAUAGGUCUUUGUAUGGAUUAAAGCAGUCCCCUAGAGCUUGGUUUGAAAAAUUCACUCAGUCCAUGAAGAAACAAGGGUACACUCAAGGACAGGCUGACCACACCUUAUUCACAAAAUUCUCCCAUGAUGGGAAAGUUGCUGCCCUGAUUGUUUAUGUUGAUGAUAUUGUCCUUACUGGAGAUGAUACAGUUGAAAUGGCAAGAGUAAAAGAGAAAUUAGCAGUAGACUUUGAAAUCAAGGACUUAGGACCCAUGAGAUAUUUUCUUGGAAUGGAGGUUGCUCGAUCAAAGAAUGGUAUUGUGGUUUCACAGCAGAAAUACAUUCUAGACUUAUUGAAAGAAACAGGAAUGAGUGGAUGUCGUCCAGCAGAUACCCCUAUGGAUCCUAAUGCUAAACUUUGGGAAGAAGGUAGUGUUCCCGUUGAUACUGGAAGAUACCAAAGAUUGGUUGGGAAACUGAUUUAUUUGUCACACACUCGACCUGAUAUUGCUUUCUCAGUUAGUGCAGUGAGUCAGUUCAUGCAUUCUCCUUUUGAGGAACAUCUUGAGGCAGUCUAUAGGAUACUGAGAUAUUUGAAGGGAAAUCCCGGAAAAGGCUUAUUUUUUAAGAAGACUAGUGAAAGAAAUGUGUCUAUCUUCACCGAUGCUGAUUGGGCAGGCUCAGUCACAGAUAGAAGAUCAACCUCUGGAUAUUGUACCUAUGUUUGGGGUAAUCUUGUGACAUGGAGGAGCAAGAAACAAGGAGUUGUGGCAAGAAGUAGUGCAGAAGCUGAGUUUAGAGCUAUGGCUCAAGGUAUUUGUGAAGGAUUAUGGAUUCAUAGAGUCCUAGAAGAACUUAAGAUGAAAAUUGAGCUUCCAUUGAAAUUAUACUCCGACAGUAAAGCUGCUAUUAGCAUAGCUCAUAACCCAGUUCAACAUGACAGAACCAAGCAUAUUGAGAUUGAUCGACAUUUCAUAAAGGAGAAGUUAGAUGCUGGAAUCAUAUGUCUACCUUUUGUGACUUCGAGUCAGCAAACUGCGGAUAUCCUGACCAAGAGCUUGGCAAGACCUACCUUUGAGCAUUUGAUAGGCAAGUUGGGCAUGAUAGAUAUCUAUGCACCAACUUGAGGGGGGGUGUUGGAAAAUAUAUCAGUAUUUAUUGUUUUCCAGUCAAUUCUAGAGAUUCUAUUAUUGACUUUUUUAUAUGUAAUAAUUUUCUCCUUAAUUCAAGGAGUAGUAAUUCUCUCCUUAAUUCAAGGAGUAAUAAUUGUAUCCUCUCUAUAAAUACCAGCCUUUGGCUGAGGAAUAAAAUAGAACAGCAUUUACCUAUUAUUUUUCAAUAGAAACCGUGGGUAAAAUCAAAUUGGGUAGUCCCAAAUAUUUUGAAUAUAACUCACAUACCUUUGUUACAUAUCCAUCAUGAGCUCGCCAAGAGGCAAUGACAUUUCCACUCUUAGCAUCAAAUAAUUUACAGUGACCAGAACUUAGUCCAGUUGCAAUCAAAGAUGACAAAGUGGGAAUACCACCUGCUUGCAUUUUGUUAGAACCCGAGGAACAAAUGGCAGAAAUAAGUGAAGGAAAACUAGAAUCAUUAGAUUCCCCCCUCCAAAUAUGAAGCUUUUGACCUCGAGCAACAUCAAUAAACCUGCACAGUACAGAAAAAAAUCAUGAGUUGGAAGGCGUCAACGUAUUUCCUAACGUGCAUCGAAUUGAUAUAGUAGCUAAAACAGAGAGUCAAUUUCACCUGAGAGAACCAUUUCCAGUGCCGACUACAAGAGUUUCAGCAGAGUCUAAUAGAUACAUACAAGUAUAAAGGCUUGAGUCAAAAGCACUAGACAAUAUUCCACUUGAUAGUGUAUUCAAAUUAAGGACAUUUGCCUGGUCACUGUUAAUUUUUGGCACAGAGGGUUGAUGGUUUGUAGGAUAGCCAGAUUCUGUUUGGGACUCGGCAAAAACUGAUAUUUGCUUCCCUGUUUGACUAUUCCAAAUAUGAAUUGUUCCAUCACAAGAUGCCACUCUUCCACUAGAAGAUAAGAUGCAAAUAUCGUUUACCACCUAAAAUUUGCAUGAGUAAUGAGUGAUUUGUAGCAAAUGCUGUUACAGUAGAAAAAUAAUAUCUAAAAGCCCAAAGAAGCUAAAAAAAUUUCAAACACACCUUAACUCAUGAAUAACUGUUACAAUUUGUAUACUAAUAAAUAUGUUGUUGCACUAAACAUCCAUUCACAUCACAUCCCCUUUUGUUUUAAAUCAUCAUCCAUUAUGCAUAUGGAUCACCUAGCAGUGCUAGGUGAUGCUUAAUGGAUGAUGACUAGCAGUUUGCUGAUUGAUGCCAUAGUUGAAACUUCAUAGUACUUAGUAGUUCUUUACUAUAGGAAUAUAUAAAUACUACAUGGAUUUACAUCAAGCAAACAAUGGUCGAAGAGUGUCAUUUUAACUGAAUGUAAAAGCAAACCUCCUCAUGGCCAUAAUAGCCUGACAGACAGUUAGUUCGGCUUAAUUCCCACUUCUGAACAGUGCCUUUAUAUCCUUGGCCAAUUCCUGCAGUAAAAACUAUACAUUCAUCCUGAUCAACAGCCAGAGACCUCACUGCUCCAUGAUGUGCCCGUAUAGAGUGAAGUACAGAUGCUCUAAUCUUCCAUGGAAGGUCUUCUUUCUGAACCCCAACCCGCCCAAGAAAUUCAGGCCCAUCCCAGAUGGUGGAUGGACUAGGGAACCAAAACCAGGGUUCAAGGUUCACUUGGCAUGACAUUCCUUCAUGCAUUACUACUGGGCUCUGCUGAACUUUGAAUGACCGUCUCUGAGGAUUCAAAUUUUUGGCACUUUUACUACCUUGGGAUUGUGGAAUUGACCAUCCAACACCAUUAAGCAACAGCUUUGCUGGAUUGUAUUCAGAUGUGAAUCCCCGGGAAAUCGCAUGUCUUCUGGCAAUAAAAUUUUCUGAGCCAUUUUUUGAUGAUUCUCCUGCAUAUUCCCACUGAACCACAACAGGCUUAGAAAUGAGCAAACGAGGCCAUGUGACAGAAAUUAUUGCACCAACAAAAACACAAUUUUCCACUUACAUGAGGGGGGGCAAGAAGGAAACAAAGGUAAACGUAGCAUACCUUCCAAUUAUGAUGGCGUAGAAGAAAUUGUUCAAGAAGCAACCAUGUAGUACAACAUUGACGAAGUUUCUCUAUCCCAAGAAGAGAUGCAAAGGAAGGAUAGAGAAGCAACCUGCAUAUGACCAGAAAAUUUUAUUUAUACUGUGAAUAAUAAAGGAAGAAUGUAAGACAAUAAAGCAGACACAAUAUAAAAUACAACAAACUUGAAAGUGAGCCACAACCAUUUACAGCACCUAACAUAAUGUACCCAAAAAAACUAACUCUCACGGUUUCAGGUGAAUGUGCAUACUUUUUGGGUUAAAAGAAGACCAGACACAUGAAAUGUCAUGGGUUUGGGUUUCCUAUUCUGAGCUCAAAUCAUAAUUGGAGAAGAUCAUUGAUCUUUCAAAUUUUUCUAUCAAUAAAUCAAGUGUUUCAAAUAUGCUUCUCAAAUUAUGAAAGUUGAGCAUUCCUAAAUCCCUCUAUCCCUAUAUGUCUAACAAUUAGAGGUGCAAUAUUGUCUAUGUCUAUUUGUUCUAGCAUUUUUUGUGGGGCAAAUCUACAUAUCAUAUGUGUGAUUACAUGCCUUUCACUAUAAAAAGGUAUAGUACAACUAUUUUCAGAUUUAACAUCAACCACUCCUAAGAAUAAAAAGAAAUUCAUUUCUGCUUAUCCUUGCAUGAUUUCAUUUUUAUCCACUUCUCUUACUUACUACUCUCCACUCUCCUUACCUAGAGCUUUUCUAGUCUUGCAUUAAAUACCCAUGAGAGGAGUUUCUCCCUGCAUAAACCUAGUCUAGAAAGCAGAUUUGUCACUCACACUAGGUCCAUACGACUUUCAAUUUGCAAGUCCCCUCCAAAUUUUAAUUUGGUAACCUUCAAGUUUCUGCCAACAGUAGUCGAACCUUUAGAAAUUUCCUGGGAGAAAGCAAGUUCAUCAAAUAAUUCUUUAAGCUUUGGAAGAAUAUGCAAUGCUGUCAAAUCUGCCCCAAUCCGCUGACAAAUUCCAAAGAGAGUAGUAGCAGCAACCUGACAAAGAGAAGGCGACUGCCAUUAUUUAACAAUUUAAGUGACUAUGGCAAGAUGCAUUGUGGCAAAGAAAUGGAUCAGACAUCUCCAGAGUAUCAGGAUACUAGCCAAAAGGAAACUUUGAUCUAUAAAGUUUGAAAUAUAACUUCUAACUUUGAAGGAUUGCAUACAAACAAUUUGGAAGAAGUGCCAGAGUGUGUCAAUCUGUUUUAGGUACAAAUACAAUGCUUGGUUUCAAAAACCCACGAGUCAAGGCACAGACCUUAAUCUUCAUUUCACCAUAACUCUUCAUUUGACAUUCUAAUUUAAGAAGGCAUAAAAAUAUUCAUGUAAAACUGUAUAUUCCUUUGCGACUUGUGAUUAAAAAGUAAAAAGUCCUCCCUAAAGAGUAAAGCUGAGAUGCCAAUUAGAGCCAAUGAAACCAAGGAAUGGACGAUGGAGCCAAAACAAACCAAUGAAUAAUUUGAAGAACCUGAAGCACUGCAAUUUCCAUAUGUUUCUGCAUGAGAAUCCCAAUAUGUAUGCAACUUACGUCCUGUAUAUUUACAACACAUUAAAAAAUUAAUUGUAAUACAAUACUUACUGGCAAUUAAAGCAUUUUGAAGCCAAAAAAGAAUAAGAACAUACUGCUAGCAGCUCUUUUACAAUGACCUCUUCUGUCAAGAAAGCUGCAAGGCCAUCCAAAGUGAUCAUACAAUCAAUAAGUGCUAAAGCACUCCAACUCUGAACAGGAUCAGGCUUAUUCAUGCAUGACACAUCAGUGAAGGAACGAACAACAUUUUUCAGCAAUGGUAGCAUCUGUUUAACAAUAAAGGAUUCCCCAAAUAUACCACCUGAAAAGUCAAAAGAGGAAAGGGGAUUAAAACUGAAGGCCUCAAACGCGAAACAUGGAAAAAUACAAAAGUCAAUAAAACAAGAAUACCAAUUCUGACUAGCACAUCAAGGCCAUCUGAACACAGUCCUUUCCCAAAGCAGUGAACAAGGGGCAAGAUGGUCUGGUUCAAGAAGAAAAAGGUCAGUAAAACAAUAAUGGUUGAACCUAAGUGGGAGUGCAUGCAUGUGGAAAAAGGAAAACAUAGUGCUGAGGUUGUUGCAAAACAUGAAAACCUGAUGAAUGGUAAUCGGAACACCAAUCUCUUCACUAGAACCGAUUAGAAGCACUGAAGCAGAGGCAGCUGAACUUUUAUCUGGAUAAAUAUACAAAUUUGACAAGACCAACGGGUGAACAGUUGCCAGGUAUGCCUGUUUACCAACUCGAUUCCAUAUUUCCCGUACAAAUGAAUCUUGUAAAAGGGAAACCUUUAAAUGCAAACAACCUGCUGUCUGUAAAAAGAUGUCUCAAUAAGAAGUCAAAGAAUUAAAAAAUAUGUAAAAAGAAAAAAGAAAGAAAAGAUCUUUACAGACUAAAUAAAUUCACACAAUGAAGUUCACAACUAGCCUGUAAAAUUUUCUGUACGGUUGGCAAUAUUAAUGUUUUUACUGCUUGUGCUGUUAAGCAUUUCAUUAGUUCCUCCAGUAGUAUAUAUGCCCAUUCAGCUUCGGUAUCAUUAACAGCGGUCACUAUAAGUGGUAAGCAAUAAGUAGCACACAUUUCAGUUGCAAAUGCACCCAUUUCUCUGAGAGCCCCCUGCUUUGCAAGAUUUGCAGCAUAACGGAGCCGAGUUUCAUCUUUAGAUACAAGCUGAAGUGGGGCAAGAAACAAGUAGGAGGACUUGACUGUCUUUGGGAAAUAAGGGGAUUCAAGAAGAAUUUUGGCUGAUGGCCUCCUAUAUAGCAAAAAUUAAUACUUCAACAAUAUGAUAGAAGAAACAACCCACAAAUCAUAACUAACAAGGACGGUAGACACAUGCAUUCAGUUGCACAUAGGCACGCACACACUGAUACCUCGUCCAAUCCUUUUGGAUGCAUGCUUCAACAAGUAAUCUAACAUGAGGAGGCAGUUCCUGUAGAAAUCCUGGUAAGGCUCCAUCCUCCAAGUACAUUGCCAAUGAAAUUGAAUCGAAGAGGGGCCUGCAAAGAUGAAGCUCAGCUAAGAGACAACCAACAGAAAAUAUGUCCCUAGCAACAUCUUCAGAGUCAAGUCUUGAAGAAGAUAAUUUCUGCCUCCAAAGCAGAAAGUCUGGAUAUCCUGAGGAGCCUUCAUCUUCCUCUUUCAUGUGUUGAAGAAAGGAGAUCAGAUUCAUUUUAUAUGGAACCCAAUAAUUUCUGUUUACCAAAGAUAGUUCACUUAUGUUUUUACUAAAUGUCUCUGGUGCUGGAUCUCCCAAAGAUGAGAUGUUCUUCCCUUUAAUAUGAUUUAGUGGAUAACGAUAACAAGCAUUCAAAUGCCUAGCAUGUUCUGAAAAUGCAGAUGCUUGCUCUAGUUCUUGUAGAUAAGCAGUUUCAGAUAGAAGAGAUGUCUCUCGCUGCAUUUCAUGUGCUUCACUCCAAACUUUGGCAUAUUUGUUGGAACCAUGACGUGUUAUUCUAGAAGUAGCGUGACGAAUGGGGUGCGGUUGUGUAAAGAGCUGACGACGUCCAGUAGAUCUUGGCAUUGUGGGUUCCGAUAAAGGAAGCAUAACAUUCUUAGCAAUAACUGCUGCGUGGCCAGACAUUUUGUACCCAAAGAUUAUAUCUAUCCAAUGGUGUAGUUGAAAUGACACCCUAUCACUUUCUAAUGCGUCACGGUGCAAUUUAAUGAAAUCCUCGGGACUCUCUGCCCAAGAAGGUACAGCCAAAUCAGCCAUACCAUCAUGUAUUGACCUAAAAAUUAGGGCAUCACAGUAAAACUCCGGAAUGCAUUCAUCAGGGGUCCAUUGAUAAAGCCUUUGCAUUGUGGAAGGAUAUUCAUUAGGUUCAUACACUGAACGAACAGCCAUUCGAAGAACGCUCAAAGGCAGCCUUCUUGCUUUAUAACUGCAGACAGCCAAUUCAGACAGACAUUCAUCUGAUACAUGAUGAGGGAUUUCAGAUGUUGAAUAGGUGAAAUCCAACUGUUCAUCACCUUUUGCCAGGCGCCAUUUGCUCUUGUUUAAGUCCCGCCAUCCUGCAUCACAAUUAUCAUCAGGCUUGGAGCUAAAAUCAAUUACCCAAGGCAUUACAGGAUGAAAUGUAUGGUCACCCCACCUUCUUCCUGCUAGUCUGUUUAAGAUAAGUAAAUACUCGAAAUUACUUAGUUCCCCUCUCCACCACUGAUGAAAGCUACAAUUCCAAUCUAUCGAUGGAGAAAGCUUCAGAUCAGCAUAAAGAUCAUUAGAAUGACAGCCACCAUUACAGCAACCGGUUUUUGCAGGUUUAGAAUCAACCCUUUCACUCUUUUGCGAAGUUAAACUUGAUUCCAACACAGGUUCAUUCCACAAUCUCAGCCAAGACCACAACGAGUCCGUCAACAAGAUAUUGGAAGGGCAUAUAUUACCAUGCGAAACCCCUAGACCGUGCAAGUACAAUAAGGCUGAGAGUAGCUGAUAUAUAAGAAAUCUUCUAUUCCAAUCAGAUUUCAACGCACCGGGGUUAAAAUGAAGAAUACUUUCCAAGUUGUAUGGAGUCUUUGGAAGCAUCAUGUUAAUGUAAUCAGAUGUUUUCAAAAUUCCAAGAACAGGAGCUAUGUUUGGAUGCCUCAAAGAGCCUGGAAAAGUAUCUUUCUCAAAUGAAGGCAGCCCAAGUAACCUAAGAAAAUUUACACAGUCCCGUCCAGACGCUUUCCCUGCAAUGAAGAGAUCAAGCGACUCUAACACAUGAUCUUCGCUUAAACCGGACAAGAAAUCAGCGGCAACCUCUUGAAACGUAGAAUACGAAGACAUUCCGACCCGAGCAAUGGGGGCAAGUGAGGUGAUUGUCCUGGAGCAAGAAAACCUUCCAGAAUGAUUACACGACGUGUUUCCGGAAGUAGCAUUUCCAGUUUCAGAAGCAACAGAUAUAGCAAUUCCACCAUUAAUCUCAUCAUUAUAUUGAUUGCCUCCAAUAUCAUGAUCAUUACUCCUAGUGCUUUCACUACUACUAUCCAAAAUAUAUUCAUUUCUGCAAACCCACCAAUAACUAAAUCAUCAAUCAUUUUGUUACAAGAAUGCAUACAACAUCAAAACAUUUCAUAUAACAAUCCACAAAAACAUCAUUAAAUUGAAUCUUACACAUAAUUGACAAAACAAUUCUUGUCGUGACCGGGCAUGUACUGCAAGAUGAAUUGACUGCCCGAUGCUUCAGUACCAGAAACCUGUUUUGGAAGAAACAGAAAAAGCAAGUUAGAAAAUGGAUUAAGAUAACAAAAAAUGAUCAGAAAAUUCAAAGAGAGGAUGAGAGAUUGACAUGAACGAUAGCUGAGGAGCCGAAAGGAAAAGCAGAAGUGGAGAUGGCAUAGUUGAAGACGAGUUGGUCAGAGAAAUCCGAGUUGAUUCGACGUUGGAGGCAGUCGAAGCAGUGAUUCUGUUCCUCCAUGGAAUCGCUCGCUCUGCUGAGUCGAGUCAACUCAGCGAUUCCUCAUGCUUUGCUGCCUGUGCUUCUUCUCCAACUGCAACAGUUGCUUAAACGCAGCGUUUUGUUGUUAAUCGUGGAACUCUGUUGUUAUAUUUGUUGAUUGAAUUUGAGAUUAGGAGUAUGAUUUUAAUCACGGAUCUAACUGAAAGCUUCUUACUUACCCCUUUCCCCAAGACCCCAACCCAAGACUGGUAGGUGGUGUGCACUGGUGCUUAGAUUAGCUAGAUGGAAGUGGUUCUAUUUGAAACGAAAAAUAAACAAAAUGUUUUGCUUCGUCUCAGGGUAGAAUCUUAAUUGUCACUCCAAUAUUCUCAUUUAAAUACAACUUAUUUCAUUUGCUUCGAUACACAACGCUACGGUUGGUUGGACAUCCCGCUAUUAGACAUUUCAUUAUUGUGGUGGUAUUUUACCGCCAAUUCAUGACAGUAAAAACCUGUCACAAAAGUCGAUUUAUUGUCACAAAAGUGAAUCAUCUACAACAAUAAUCGAUAUUUUAUUGCAAUAUAUACGACGAAGUGAGAUAUAUUCGACUAGUGUAGUGACAUCCAUAUUAUGCGGAGUGAUUUUUUAUAUUCUUGACAUGAUUAAAAUUGUGUGAAUAAUAUACUUUGGUAACGGUUCGUCAAGGUCGAUCCAGUCUAAGCCAAAUGUAUUUUGAUUCGGUGUAUACACUUAGGCAUUCCAACGACCUAAGUUAUUCUUCAACAUGCCAAUUAGCGAGGUUGAAACUAGGUUGAGCAGAAGUGCAUGUUUGGAGUUCAUUUUUAGGUUGUUCUUAUACUAUGCUGAUUAAAAUUGAGCUGAUCAGGAGUUAGAACAUGCUAAUAAUAGUGUUGCUGCGACAUGGCUUAAUUUAAUUUCUGUCAUAGUACACUGAACUUCAAACUAAGGAAAUUAAAAAUCCUGUUGGGUAUAAAAACAUGAGUAAUGUGUCCGUUGAAAAGAAAAGGAAUAUAUUGUUGCACAUCUGUUGCUAAAGAAAGAAAGCAUAACGUUAAUCAUCAGGAGACUCUAAGUCUCAAACACGGUUGUAGGCCACUGACUUGCUGAAAAGGCGCCUAAUGUAUAUGACUUGCAGUGUGCUAACAGCAGCCAACAAAAGGUACUCUCCGACAGUGUAGAAUAUGACUCGCGAGCGUGUGCUCUCAUUUGCUACAAACAAAAAAGGGAGUUUGAGUCAGUACAAGGUGGAUAAUGAAAGAAGAAGGAAUGCAGACGAGGAUAAUAUAUCUUUCAUUCUUGAUUCAGGAAAAUACUAUCAUGAGGAUAUUAAGAAACAGAUCUAAAAUGCUGUACAUAAUGACCAGAUAUCAUGAGACUGACAGUUCCUAGAUGCAGAAACUAGGAACAUUCUUAGCCAACAACAAGCGGUACAAACAAACUAGUUCUUAUAUGUCUAAAAAGUUAAUGGAUGGAUGAUGGAUCUCUGCUACACUAGGCCUGGGAGUGGAAAAGCUUUGGGUGAGAUCACGAUCACGUGAGAAACUGUCCCUUUCUUUUCACUACUUUCUCUCGAAAUCCAAGUUCUUAAAAGAAUUGGUGCUGAGCAUGAGUAAUUCUGUUAUCAAAAUUCCCACUCCCCACCUGAUAUCCAUGACUCUGUCCGGCAUUGCGUUUAGAUGCUCAGAAGAGGUUAAUUUUAGCCUCCCGGUUCUUAAAAAGUUUGUGACAAUAAAUUGCAUUUUAUAUAAAUGCAUAUAUGAUUCAAAGAAAAAUAUCAUGACUACCACAAUCAAAUUUCCCAAGGUAGAACAGUGGCAGUUCAUGGAAAAGGAGACUACUUACUAUGGCGAUGCCUAGUAUCACGAGCUUUCAAGUACUUUUGUUCAGCUGUAACAGACUCUAGUGCCUCCCUGAGCUCAGCAAUUUUAACAUUAAUUGGGUCCAGAUGCUCUGCAAGUGCAAACCAUCAAAAUUAGGGAAACUCCCAAAAACCAAACAAUAGAAGGAACAAAAACACUUAGAUUGCUCUUCACAAAUGUCAAGAAUACCUCAGGUAAAUGGUAAACGACUAUACUAUUUAAUACUAUAAAUAUGUUAAUUGUAGAAUCUACUAAGGAUGCUUUCCCAGAGAACAUACCAUCUUUGGCAAGGUUAUGCUCAUUGGGAAUAUGACCAACAUGGAUGUAGAAGGAAACAGUCUCAGGUGUCGAGUAUGGGUUAUGAAAACAAAAUUUGUACAUCCCAGAAGCUGGGGCUUUAAAUUGAAACUUGUCGCCAGAGGUUCCCUUGAUGUCGUGGACAGUAUUACCUGCAGGAGAUGUCACCUGCAUAUAACCCAAAAAUUAGGAUAUCUGAAAAGCUAAAGAUAGAAAACAAUAUGCAAAUUUGGGCUGCUCAAUCAGACAAAGAAUUCAUACAAACAGUAACCAAAGAUGGCUCCUAAUGCACUUCCUAUUAUACUAGUUAGCACACAUAAAUUUCUUUACACAAAACCACUAUGGAUUCAUACAAACAGUAACCAAAGAUGGCUCCCAAUGUACUUCCUAUGAUAUUACUAGUUAGCACAAUAUAAUUUUUUACACAACCCUAAGUCCCCAAAAUAAAAUACAUCACCAAGCAUCAGCUAAUAUCCAUGCAAAACAAGAAAGAACCAACAACCAAGGACUCACCAAUGAUCAUUCAUCACACAAAUGAUACUGAUCACUAAAACAUUUAAACACAAUAUAUGCAGAAUUUGAGGCAUCCAACACAUUUUGGUAAUCCCCAUCCAUAAUUCAGCUUAAGGAAGAUGCAACCAAGUCAUGUAAGAGACACAUCAAUAGCUUCCUACAGCUUAACCAAGUCCAUCCCCUUUUGUUAAAUGAACAAUUUUCAUGUUUGAUUAUAGCUACACAUAGAUCAUAUUCAACCCUAGUAACACCAAUCCUCCUCAAAAACCCUAAUAUAACCUACCCCAACUAAAAACCCUAAAUUCAACUCCAUAACAAAAAUCCAAUAGUUGUUACUAUACAACAAAUCAUCAGUGUGAGUAAUCCAAUAAAACAAAAUUCAAAUUGAAUGACAGGGAAUUGGGUUUGCGUUGCACUCACCGUGAGAUCAAUGCCGGGGUGAUCGGAGCCCCAGAAAAUGUCAUGGUCAACAACAACGAAGUUCCCGGAAACGGUGUCACCCUCAUAGAGCACAUACUCGUAGAUGCACUCAACCUCGUGCACAGUGACAGAGAGCGAUUCAAUGCGAGCAACGAAGCUCAGCAUCAAACACAUCAAAACCAUCCACAUCUUGUUCGCAAUUCUCUUUCCCUCCAUCAUUUAUUUACCCUGUGGAAUCAAAAUUGUGGUUCUCAGAUCUCAGAAGAUUGCAAGUUUGAGAAAAUUGUGAUCCGUUUUGGUCUGUGCGGUGAAGGUGCGGCGAUGAAGCAAAACGGCACCACUGUUGGCGUCGUGGACUUGAGAUGAUGAAGGUGGUAUAUGAAUGAGGGUGUAUGAUGGAGGCGUCGUUUUUGGUGACGUGUGACGUGCACUAGCCAAUCAGAGAAGACUGUAGGUGACAGGUCACACACACACUGUAACUUAACAAAUAUGGAAUUUAUUUUGACAAAUUUUUUAAUAAAAAAUAAUGAUAUUUAUAAUUUGUAAAGUUCUGUUUUUUGAAAAAGAAUUUGUAAAGUUAAUUCCUACGGUAUUUGACUUUCUAGGAGUUACAAUGAUUUUGUAAGUAAGACCUUGAGAAGAUCAAGUAAACAUAUCCCGACACACUUCCCACCUAAAUCAUCAUCAACACACUCCUCCAAGCUUAGAAGGCAACCCUGGGAAAAAGUAGAGGCAAAAGGCUUAUUCACCAUUCAUCAACUGACUGAAAUGACAACAUUUUCAGGUCAUCUAAGGGUCGAUCUCAACACACGUCGAACCUUUGACUACAUAAGGAACCAAAAGAAAAGCGGGUAAGUAAGAUUUAGCCAUUAACCCAAAUUCUCUUCACUAUUAUUAGUUACUUGGUCACUAGAGUAUCUUCACAUGUACACCUCAAAGGGCUCGAGGCGCUAGCUAGCCCAAUGAGAAUAAUUAAGUUCAUGAAGACAAGUGCUGAAGCAUUUACGUGUUCCUGAUAUUAUACACUCAUUUGAGUAACUGAUUAUUUGUUCGAUCAAUUACUUAAUUCAAAAGUUAAAGUAAUAUUAAAAUUUGUUCCUAAAUGAUAGCUCAAGUGUUCAGAGUUAGAGACAUAUGAGUUGAGGAUGAGAAAGUCCAGAAUCAAUCAUGAAGAAUGCAACAGUGUUGUUAGUAUACAAAGCGGACAAUUUCACUUUAACUAUUUAUUUAUCAGUUUUUUUUAAUGAAAUGGUGUUAGGAUACAAAGUGGACACUUAGGCUUAGUUCUUUUUCUUAUUACUAUUACAAUAGUCACCUUUCUCUUUCAAGUUUUCUUCACCAACAUUGGAUCGCAAGCAACAGCAAAGGUCAACAGCGUUGAAAAAUGGAGAAGAUUCAGAUACAAGUCCCACGAGUCAAACUGGGUAGCCAAGGCUUGGAGGUAAAAUUUCUGGAUAAUUUCUCCUUCCUAUAUGGACAUUUUUCAUUCUCCUCAUUAACCACUUUGUUCAUCAUCCAAAGUUGUUGUUUACAAUGGACUGAUUCUUAAUUCAGCAUCAGGAGGGAGAAUACAUUAAACCAUUUUUCCAUUUUCAUCAAAUGCCUGUUAUUGUCAAUCUCUGCAGUUUAAGAAAAGAUCCUUGUUUUCAUGAUCACCAACUCAGGAAUUAUUUUACCCAAAAAGUUGGCAUGAUUCUAUUUUAAUCACCCAUAAUAGGACUUUGUUCUCCAAAUUUCAACUCCACCCCAAGGAAUCUUCAAUCUGGUGGAGUCUUAGCCUGCAUUUAGUGCAUGCUGAUACUUGUAGAAUAAAUGUCUUUUACUUUUACAAUUUGGAUUUUGUUUUCAAGCAGUAGAGAAUGGUAAUUUUGACCUGUUUUGUAUAUCAGACUAUUUUAGAUUCACAGGUUAGAGCCUGAGUAUGAUGAUAGUGGUAGUGUAUACGUCUCUAACUCAAGUAUGCUUGGGUAAACAACUUAAUUAACCGCUUAUUCAUAAGCUAAUUUGAGAAACUUAUUGAAAUAAGAAAUAAGUUAUAGACUUAUGGUAAGCAUAAACUCUAUUUCAUUAGUUAAUCUGAACAAUCAAGUUAGAAAAAAGAUUACAAACCAUACUGUACUGUAUGCAAGUAAGAGUUACAUAAUUAACAUUUCAAUUUUCAGCUACUCCUUCUGACAUUCUAAAUCUCUCUCUAUAUCCCUGCCUCUCUUGAUUUCUCCCUUUUAGCUGGCCUAGUCUUUGAUUUAGUAUUUGUGAUUGUGAUAAGAUAAGGACACCCCCGCCCCCUCCCGUGUGUAUUUUCAUUUUUGCAAUGCAGGUUUCUAGGUUGGGCUUUGGCUGUGGAGGAUUGUCUGGAAUUUAUAAUGCUCCCUUGUCGCAUGAAGAAGGAUGUUCAAUUAUUAAGGAAGUGUUCAAUAAGGGGGUUACCUUCUUUGAUACAUCAGAUCUUUAUGGAGAUAAUCAUGAUAAUGAAAUCAUGGUUGGUAAGGUAACAUAUUAUCCAACUAAUUCAUUGAGUGGUGGAAAACAUAAUUAUCUGUAUGAGCUGCAAAUUGUGAUAAUUUGAUUAGUCAUGUGUUAACAACUGAUACACAAAGAAAUUAUACUUUACAUGUAGCAAGUGGCAUGUAGUUAUGUUUCACCAAUAUCAUUAUAACAUUGCAUAAAAAUGAGUUUGUUUACACUAUCAUCUCGCUGGGAAAGACAGAUUUGUGGGAGAUUUAAAAGAUACUUAGAUGAGGCCUUUUCUUGUGUCAUCAGGCUUUAAAAGAACUUCCCCCGAGAAAAAGUUCAGUUGGCUACAAAAUUUGGUGUUACUAGAUCAGAAGGGAUAGUUCUGCAAUUGGGAGUAAAAGGUACUCCUGAAUAUGUGAGGGAGUGCUGUGAAGCAAGUCUUAAGCGUCUUGAUGUCAAGUAUAUUGAUUUGUACUAUCAGCAUCGAAUAGACACUUCAGUGCCAAUUGAAGACACUGUAAGCUUUGAAUGUUUUUCCUCUGCGAUCCUCUAAGUUUUUCAAUCUAGAUGAUUAAGUGCUUUAACAUUGAUCUUUGUAUAUAUGGAAGAUGGAGGAGUUGAAACAACUAGUAAAUGAAGGAAAGAUAAAUUAUAUUGGGUUGUCAGAGGCUAAUGCUGACACUAUAAAGAGAGCACAUGCUGUUCAUCCGAUCACUGCUCUGCAAAUGGAGUAUUCAUUAUGGAGCCGUGACAUUGAAGAAGAUAUAAUUCCACUUUGCAGGUAUUUUACACACAAAUACUAACUGUGCUGUUCUUAUAGUCACAAAUUACAAGUAUACUUGAAUUUUUCAGUUUGAUAUGUUUUCUAACUCUGUCAUGUAUGCUUUAAGGUUGGAUUAUCUCUAAAUUAUCUGAAAGAAUUUGCUUUUAUUUAACUUAUAAGCAUUUGUGCUUGCAGAGAACUCGGGAUUGGAAUAGUAGCAUAUAGCCCUCUUGGUCGUGGUUUUUUUGCAGGAAAGGCGGUGGUAGAAAGUUUGCCUAGUCAAAGCUUGCUGGUAUGUAGCUAGUAAUAACUAACAAAUGAUAGUUUUAAGUUUGCAUGACUAAGGGAAGGUUUGAACUAUUCGUUGGAUCACAUCUCUCCGGAGGGAAAAUGGAAUAGAUAUCAGUGUUAGUUCUAGCAUGUUUAAAUCAUUUCUUUUUCUUCAGGAUCAAUUCUGAAUGCCAGAAGCUACAAGCUACUCAUAGUAGCUUCUUAUCAGAAUUGAUUUUGGCUAUCAAAUGUAGAAGGAUUUCCAAACAUGCAAUUUUAUUCCUGCAGCGAUUCUCUACUGAAAUUUCUUCAUGUUUCUGGUAACAGACUAUGCAUCCCAGGUUCACAGGAGAAAACUUGGAAAAGAACAAGCUUUUCUAUAAACGACUUGAUGACAUGGCUUCUAAGCAUGCAUGCACUCCUUCUCAAUUAGCCUUAGCAAUGGCUUCUCCAUCAGGGAAAUGACAUAAUCCCUAUCCCUGGUAGAGUCUUAACUAUAUUUAGGAAGACUUAUGUGUUCAAUAUAAGCAUGAGUUGCUUACUAUCUGUUUCUAAAGUUAAUCUUUUUUAUCAUUUGAUAUUCUGCCAAUUUACUUUCUAGAUUUUACUAAUUUCUCUUAAUAAUCACUACUCAAUGAAGAAGGAAAAAAACAUGGUAUUACCAUGUUUGGAUCGGUUUUUCUUUCGUUAGAAUCAAUUCUGACACCCAAACAUUACUCACAAAAGCUUCUCCCCAUGAUUGAUUUUGACUUUAAAAUCAAUUGCAGAAGGAUUUUCAAACAUGCACUCAAAUCCUUUUCUAUACAACUUCUAUAAUAAAUCGAUCAUCUGUCUCUUUCAAGCAUAAUGUGCAUUUGUUCAUUGACUGUACUAUUGUCCAUAAAAUAUGUUGCUAGUUGCUACUAUAAGCAUGUGAUAGAUUGAUUCUAAUGACUAUGUGCUAAUCAUAUAUUACUCUGAUACCACAGGGACUACUAAACUGAGGAACUUUGAGAACAACAUUGGGUCUCUGAUUGUGAAGCUUACAGAGGAAGAUUUGAAAGAAAUUUCUGAAGCAGUUCCUGUUGAUGAAAUUGCUGGGAAACGAGAAUAUGAUAGCUUAUCAAAAUAUACUUGGAAGUUUGCAACUACACCUCCAAAGUAAUUGCAUAGAGAAGAACCGUUGAAGUGUGUAGUGAGUUACUGUUGAGUUUUUAUUUAGUCAUUAUGCUCAUCUCAAUAAAAUAACCUCUGGGAUUCUAGGAGUGAUCUGUUGGAAAAUGGAAAAGCAGUUAUACUACUACCUUCAAAUGUAUGCAUGCCAUUGUUAAUUCUACAACUUAACUGACACUCCUUUUACUAGCAAAAAAUUAUCUCUUAUGUGCAUAUUUCACCAUCUGCACUAUCAGUUCUACUUAACAGCUAUAAUGGCAUUCUGUUUUAGACUAUGGAUCUUUUUUCAUGAACUGAUUGAUAGUGGUUGAGUGAGCCAUAAUUUCUGCAUACAAAUCAGGGCCGGUCCCGACAUUUUGGAGGCCCUGGGCAAAUAAUAACAAUGGAUCCUUAAUAAUUUUAAGGUUCGAAAUUUCAUCAGAACUAUUAUAUUGGUUUGUUUGGCAACUUUCGAACCCGAUACAUAAAAGUAACAUAAACAGUUACUAACCACUAGACCAGCUCAAGUCAUUAAUAACAUCUUGAACAUUAAUUAUUAUAACUAAAUUUUAUUUUAGGGGAAAAGUUUAAUGAGAUUUUUUUUUGGGCCCCUUCUUUUUAGAAGCCCUGGGCUGUGGGCCUGCUUGCACAGGUCCAGGGCCGGCCUUGAUACAAAUAUCAGGGAACAAUGACUGCGGGACAGUAGCUCAAUUCGCCUGUAUCAAUCUUUAAAGCUGGAGAGUAUAACACUAUUUUAUAAAUUAGGUUACUCUUAUUGGAUAUUGGGGUUAUAAUGGUCUCUACUCGAGCUAUCUUCAAAGGAUAAUGUUUGGGGGACAUACGACGAUCCGCAACCACCAAUCAAUACACAUAUUGUGACCGUUUUUUGGGCGGCUUGAGACACAUCCACAACGUUAAUUAAAUUCAAAUGGUUUUUCAUUGUUAAGGUUUAACUUUGUUUUUAAAAUCAUAUUCAAACAAAUUUACACUUUUUAUUCUAAUUAUAAUAAUUAUUUUUAAUUUAAAUUUAAAUUACUUUUAUAACUUAAUAUUGAAAUUUAUGAUUUAAAUUAAAUGUUCACUAAUUUAUUUUAAUUCCAUUUAUAUUAUUUACCCAACUUUUUAGGGUACGAUUUAAAAAAUUAAAAUCACUUCUAAUAAUAAAUUACAAAUCAUAAUUUUUUUUUCCUAACUAAACGUGUGUUGAAUUUUGUAUAAAUUGCAAAACUAAACAUAAUAAAAUAUAAGAAAUUAGUGUUCCAUAAUUAGUGAUACAGAAGAAAGUGUAGAGAAAGUCAUCUUAUUCUCUAUUAGCAAAUAAAAGUAUAUCAGGUCGAUCCUUAGAUGCUAGAGCUGAUCAGAAAAAAGCAAAAAUUGCUAUAAGCAAAGCCAUGUGACCUUAAUUGCAAGAAAAGUUCACUCAGAGCAUCUUCAAUGAUAGGAACUUAUUUUGGGACUUAACUCAAUUUUUGUGGGUCCAAAUUGCUACAUAAAAUUUAAACACCCAUAAGGUCUUCAUACACAUUUCACUCUAGUGGUUGAGAUCUUAUUUUACUUUUUGACUGUACCCACAGUACCCAAUAUAUUUAUAUUAUUUAUUCCCCUCCUUAAUUUUCACUUUGGUUAUGGUAUUGAAAGAGAGAGGAAAAAAUAUUAUUUUAUUUAAGAUCUCACAUUUGAGAGUACAUGAGCUAAGGCAUGCCAUGUAGGAUAGCUCCAAUGGUGAGACCUAAUAAGAUCCGGAUCUUAUUUUAAGGUCCCAAAAUAAGGACUCCAUUAGAGAUGCUCUUAAACACGAAACACGAAUGCUUUUUCCAGCAAAUGUAAUUUGGACAGAAAGCAUUGAAUUAGAGCAAAUAAAUUGAUGUUAAAGGCAGAGGUUCAGUUUCUUGGUUAACUAAGAAUCACUCCAAGAAACUAGAAAGUGAGUUAGUAUAGUGGUUCAAUAUUUUAUUUUUUAAAUAUACGGUUAAAGCUUAUGUAAAUGAAAACAACUCUUUUAUAAACCUUUAUUAUUUUUUGCGCUAGUGUGAGAGAUUAGUCACACAAAUAUCUAUUAUGGGAAUAUCCCUACGAAUCAUUCCAAGCCACGAAUUAUAUUCCAAGAAAGCAUUAGAACGUUCUAGUAAGUAGUACUUACCGAACUAGGUCUGCAGUUAAAACUAAUUGAAGUCCUAAAGGUUCCACGUCAAACACCAACCAUUUUAACCCCUGAUUCACCCUUAUGGCCCUCAAGGGAACCACGUCUCCUCCUUUUACCAUGUGUGGACAAGAGAACCCACGUGAACCAAUUACCUUUUGGACCUAUACACACUAGACGUGGAACCAAACUGUCCACCACAAUGCUUGCCUUAAUUCUAUAUAAACCACCUCAUUCAUUGCUACUAUACCUAACAAAGGAGGUGUAGCAUUAAAAGCAUAGCUUAAAAACUUUACUAAGCUCUUACUAGAAAUUCUCUGAUACAACUUGUUCUUGAGUUAACUUUGCCAAUUUCUCUAAUUCAUCAAUGGCUGCUAUGCAAUCUAUCAUCUCUAGCCCUAUGAUCCGCAUGACCACCAGGUCAAGGGUGAACCAGUUCACCACUCCUGCUGUGUACAUGCCAAGCCUGAGAAGGAAUGCUACCCUGAGAGUUAGGUCCAUGGCUGAGGUAAGGGUGCUUAAAAUAAUUUUCAGACAUAUAGUACUUGUAACAUGCUUCAAUUUUUUAUGAGCACUAAUUUUGUUUGUACACAUGACGAGGAACAAUCUUGUGUGUAACUAUAUGAAUUUUGGUUAAUGUUUGAAGGGAGAGCCAAAAGAGCAACCUAUUGAACCUGUUACUAGCGCUAGCCCAGUUACACCAUCACCACCACCACCACCACCAAAACCUCGUGCACCAAAGGUGAGUGAGCCAAGUGUUCACUAUUUUUUUUUAUAAUAAGUUAUGCUAAUUACACCAUGGAUCUACAGUAUGAGACUUUUACUGACAUGAGUGAUGGUAAAUUUGCAGGUGAGCACUAAGUUUUCUGAUGUGAUGGCAUUUGGUGGGCCUGCACCUGAGAGGAUCAAUGGAAGACUAGCCAUGAUUGGGUUUGUAGCUGCAAUGGCAGUGGAAGUUGCCAGAGGGCAGGGAGUGUUUGAACAAAUAUCAGAUGGUGGAGUUCCAUGGUUCUUGGGGACAAGUGUGGUGUUCACUCUUGCUUCUUUGGUUCCACUGUUUCAAGGGGUUAGUGUGGAGUCAAAAUCCAAAGGUCUCAUGACCUCUGAUGCAGAACUCUGGAAUGGAAGGCUUGCUAUGUUGGGUUUGAUUGCCUUGGCCUUUACAGAGUAUGUUAAGGGAGGAACCCUGGUGUAAGAGUUCAAAGGCUUAGGAACAAUGUCUUAUAAGGAUUGUUUUAUAGUAGGUGAUGUAUGAAACUUGGUGUGUUUUUUAAUGCACAUAUAGAAUUAAUGAAAUUUCAUACCUUAAUCAUAAUCAGAUUUCUUGUUAUCACUUCUAAACUAAGAGCAAAAAUCGUUGAAGGCUAUUAUUAACUGUUGUGAUCCAUACAAAUCAAACAAUGUAUUGUUAACCUGCCUUAAUCGAAUAACUUAAACUGCACACAUGGAGAAAAGUUGGAAAUUGGAAAACAUGAUGAAGUUCUUGCUAAUGAGAAUCAGGUAAUUACUAUCCGGCAAUUGCAAUUAUAAUAAACAGAAAAUUAAUGUGGUUAAAACAUUCAGACCAUUUGUGUGGGGUAACCUGCAGUAAACCUUUAACUAUUGUAAUAGCUAAUAUCUAUCUAACAAUGCAUUCAGGAUAACAUUGAAAUGUCAUUAAACUAGUUCAUACUUCAUAAUGAUAGAUUCGAUGACAAUUGGCCAAUUGCAAUAGCAGAUACUUAAAUUACAUUUCAGGAUACCGAAUGGAACUUUCACUCUUAAUCAUAGAGAAAGCACAACAUGUCCUUUCUUUCUUGGUUGCCAAACACUUGAGACAGAAGAUUACAGCUGGGAGAUAAGUUUACACAUAUGGACUUGGGAAGCUUGGAGGGGUUGUUCAUAAAAUUGACUUGAGUAUGACUUGAGUUGGCAAUGUUAAAUCAUAAAAUACUAAUUAACUCAAUAUUCUGCUUUUGUUUAUGCUGUCGACCCACUUUUUUUAACACAUAAUGAUUAACAUUUAUUUGAAUUACUCUCAAUAUGUCCUUUUUUUCUUGGUUGCCAAACACUUGAGAGAGAAGGUUACACACAUGAAUUUGGGAAGCUGGGAGGGGUUGUUCAUAAAAUUGACUUGAGUAUGACUUGUGUCGACAAUGUUAAAUCAUAAAAUACUAAUUAACUCAAGUGGUUGUUCAUAAAAUUGACUUGAAUAUGACUUGAGUCAACAAUAUUAUUAAAUCAUAAAAUACUAAUUAACUAAAUAUUCUGCUUCCGUUCAUGCUAUCGACCAUAUCUUUUUAACACAUAUUAAUUGAAAUUUAUUUGGGUUUCACUCAACAUGUCCUUUUUUUUCUUGGUUGCCAAACCCUUCAGAGAGAAGGUUACACCUGAGACUGAGAUAGAAGUUGACACAUAUGGACUUGGGAAGCUUGGAGUGGUUGUCCAUAAAAUUAACUUGAGUCAAAAAUGUUAAAUAAUAAAAUAUUAAUUAACUCAAUAUUUUGCUUUUGUUUAUGCUAUCGACCCUCUCUUUUUAGCACAAUGAUUGAAAUUUAUUUGGGUUCUCACUCAAAAUGUGAGUCUCACCACCAAUUUAGUAUGUUUCAUGUGAAUUUCAACCACUAAAAGAAAGAAUUGAAAAAAGAGUUAAAAUAAGUGCUGUUAGCCACUUCUCAUAGUAACACUAUUGAAUAAUAUAGUGCUGACUGACAAUUGACCAAUGUUAACAUACAUAGUGUCAAACAUGGUGCUGACACAAAACGAGCUGGGUAGUAGAAACAACUAAAACUUUAGAGGAACAACAGCCUUUAACUAAGUACAAAAAUAGAAGCCGUGAUAUUGGGUUUUUUACCUAAGUAGUGUAGUUUUGUAGUAAAAUUACAGUUUUGAGGUACUUUUUUUUAUUUACCAUUCUGGUAUAAAUCGCCAUUGUCAGUGGCAAUUUUAUUUUAUUUUUUUAAAGAAUCGCUAAUGCUAUUGGCAUUUUAGUUUUUCUUUUUAGUUUUUUUAUUAAAUUGCCAACAUGGUUGGUGUUUUUCUUAUUUUUUUAAACAAUCGCCAAACAUGUUGGCGUUUUAUUACUUUUUUUACAGUUUUUUUUAAAUGUCAUAUAUAUAUAUAUAUAAACAACUAAAAUUGUAUUUAAUCAAUUGAUACUCACCCGUGUCUUAUUCACUUUUAUAGUGUCUCCGAUGGUUAGUUUAAGUGAUAAAAGUUUAAGACAUGAGAGUUGAGUGAGAUGAAUGGUGAAGGAUUCAUGGUUCGAACCCUAGGAGAGACUAAUUUACUAACAUUACUAACAACUAACAUUUACUUAUAAAAAAACUCACUUUUGCAGUACUAUGGUCAUAAGUAUUUGAACCGAUAUUUAAAGAUAAACAAUACGCAUUACAUAAUUUAAUUUAAGAGAAAUGGCACAAAAGUAUGUGAGUAUCAAUGGAUUAAAUACCAUUUUAAUUGCUGGUUUUUUAAAAAAAUAUAAGCCAACAAGUUGGCCAUUUAAAAAAAAUGUAAAAAAAGUAGUAAAACACCAACAUGGUUGGGGAUUGUUAAAAAAAAUUAAAAAUAAGAAAAAUGCCAACAUGGUUGGCAAUUUAAUAAAAAAAGGAAAAAAUAAAAUAAAACACCAAUAGCAUCGACGAUUUUUUAAAAAAUAAAAAAAAUGUCACUAACAGUGGCGAUUUAUACUAAAAUGGUAAAUAAAUAAAAAAGUACACAAAGCUGUAAUUUUGUUACAAAAUUAAACUGGGGUUGUCUAAAUGACCCAAGGUAAAAAUUGGGUUAAAUCACCCUUUGAUGAAGUGUGCCAAUAAUAUUAUAACAUGUAUUUUUAUAAAUUCUAACUUAUUUCAGUAUUUAUUUUAUUUAUAUUUUCAUAAUAUUCAUUUUAUAUAAUAAUUUAUUUGCAUACUAAUAAACCAAUCAAUUAGUAAUAAUAACACAUAACUCCUUUUUCAAAAAGAAAAAUUGAGAACCCUAAUCCCAAUUUCUUCCAUGCUUUGAUCAAAAUCAUUUGAGUAAAAUCUCUCAAAUAUGAAACUUCUGUGUAAUCAAUUGAUUGUAGUAAACAAGCAAACUCUUCCUCGUCAAUUACGUUUUCAUUCAAAUGAUAAAAAGAAAUUAAUUUCUGCACCAUAUUUCAUUACCAUUGCACGAGUUAUCUUCAAAUGUCAUAGGUUUUUGAUGUGAAAUCAAUAAAUCCCUAAUCACCCCCUUUAAGAAAUGUAUGCCAUAAACUCUAUGCUAAGAGUAAAAGCAAUUAGGAAGAUGCAUGAAAGGUGAUUGCCGACGACGGUGAUGCAACUUUGCUUCUUGGGAGAACAAAUUAGAGUAGCAGACCAAGAAAGCAAGGAAGAAAUUGGGGAUUAGGGUUCUCAAUUUUUGUUUGGAAAAAAAAGUUGUGUGAUUAUAUCAUAAUUAAUUUGUUUAUUGUGCAAAUAGAUUAUUUUAUAGAAUGAAUAUUAUGAAAAUAUAAAUGAAAGAAAUAGUGAAAUGACUUGGAAUUUAUAAAACACAUAAUAUAAUAUUAUUCACACACCUCAUCAAAGGAUGAUUUAACCCAAUUUUUACCUUGGGUCAUUUAGACAACCCCAAUUAAACUACACUACUCGGGUACAAAACCCGCAAUAUUCCAUCGAUACUUAUACUAGCGCAAGAGCUUAUUCAUUACAUGGAUAUCUCAUUUUCAUAUAGAGGGAUGGAUCUCUACACUCAUCCAAGGCUGGUAAGAAGCAAGCACAUGCAGUUCAUAAGCAGAAUGAAAUGAAGCACGGCAAACAAAUUGUAAGGGUAAUGAGACUACACGAAUAAGAAGCUCCAGGUGGAACCAUACCAACGAGAUAAUACUAGUUGCCAGACAAAUGGGAUGAAAAACUCAUCUGGAUGACUCACUUGUUCAUAUGUGAAGCGCAGUUGAGUAAACAUCUGAAAAACAAGAUUCAGCCUAAUAGAAACAAACAAGACAAGUACUGCUCCUUAUAUACCAAGAAACCAAAAGAACGUUCUAGUAGUGACCGAACUAGGUCUGCAGUUAAAACUAACACCAACCAUUUUAACCCCUGAUUCACCCUUAUGGCCCUCAAGGGAACCACGUCUCCUCCUUUUACCAUGUGUGGACAAGAGAACCCACGUGAACCAAUUACCUUUUGGGCCUAUACACACUUGACGUGGAACCUAAAUGUCCACCACAAUGCUUGCCUUUAAUUCUAUAUAAACUACCUUAUUCUAUUCAAUGUAUCAUCAAACAAAGGAGGUGUAGCAUUAAAAGCAUAGCUUGUAAACUUGACUAAGCUCUUCCUUGAAAUUCUCUGAUAUAGCAAGUUCUUGUGUUAUCUCAACCAACACUUCCAAUUCAGCAAUGGCUUCCUCAACUUCUGCUAUGCAAUCUAUCCUGGCUAACCCUAUGAUCCGCAUGACCACCAGGUCAAGGGUGAACCAGUUCACCAUUCCUUCUGUCUACAUGCCAAGCCUGAGAAGGAACUCUAGCUUGAGAGUUAGGUCCAUGGCUGAAGAGCCAAAAGAGCAAAGUGCUAGCCCAGUUACUCCAUCACCACCACCACCAAAACCUCGUGCACCAAAGGUGAGUGAGCCAAGUGUUUGAAGAAUAUAAUUUACAUAGUUGUGACUCUGUUCACUAUUUUCUUUACAUUUAAUUAGUUAUAUAUGCUAAUUAAUCCUUGGAUAUGAGACUUUACUAACAUGAGUGAUGGUAAAAUUGCAGGUGAGCACUAAGUUUUCAGAUGUGAUGGCAUUUGGUGGGCCUGCACCUGAGAGGAUCAAUGGAAGAUUGGCCAUGAUUGGGUUUGUAGCUGCAAUGGCAGUGGAAGUUGCCAGAGGGCAGGGAGUGUUUGAACAAAUAUCAGAUGGUGGAGUUCCAUGGUUCUUGGGAACUAGUGUGGUGCUCACUCUAGCUUCAUUGGUUCCACUGUUUCAAGGGGUUAGUGUGGAGUCAAAGUCCAAAGGAGUCAUGACCUCUGAUGCAGAGCUCUGGAAUGGAAGGCUUGCUAUGUUGGGUUUGAUUGCCUUGGCCUUUACAGAGUAUGUUAAGGGAGGAAUCCUGGUGUAAGAGUUCAAAGGCUUAGGAACAAUGUAUUAUAAGGAUUGAUUUAUAGAAGGUUAUGCAUGAAACUUGGUGUGUUUAUUAAUACACAUAGAAUUAAUGAAAUUUCAUACCUUAUUCAUAAACAGAUUUCUUGUUAUCUAUUUCUAAACUAAGAGCAAAAAUCGUUGAAGGCUAUUAUUAACUGUUG